UUUCGUACAGGUCAUAAAACCGAACUCCUUUUUUAUAUAGUUAAUCAGAGUGUUUAUUGAAACAAUUUCGUUAAUUCGGUCGAUAAUUACGUUGUUAGUUUUUAUUAGUCUGAUUAGUUUUAAUCGAAAUAAUUAUCGUACGAUUCACCAUGUCAACUCGCCAUGUUUUGACUGCGAACAACAGCUGAUAGCGGUGUGUCAGAAGAAUGGCCUGCAAGACGGCGAUAGUGGAAAUUUCAGCUCAACUAACGUAUGACAGAUUAUAAAGCUAUUGGUGGCCACAUGGUUUUUACCUGUUGAUUCUUUUCAGCUCUUGAGGUUAACCUGUCAUCUCUGUCAUUUACCAGUAAAAAUUAAAUCGGAUAAUUCAUGAACAGUUACUGUAAUGGAACUUUAAGAAAGCAUCAUGCCUUGUUGUGGUUUGUGUUUGAUAAGAAAUUAUAACAAACAAAAUUAUGGCUGUUUAAAGUAAUUUACAAUUGUUAGCUGUGAAAAUUUGUUUUUCAAUAAAAGUAUGCAAUUAUG